rnacentral:lncRNA from 1 species
CUUAUAAGUAAUGUGGUCUCUGGAAAACUCCACUGUACACUAGUGAAAUAAUAAAAUUGAAAAAUGCCAAUAUCAUCUCAGCAUCAUUACAAAAAUAGUUUAGACUUCAAGAAUCCCCUGAAAGGGUCUGUGAAAAGUAAAGUAGAGGUUCCUCUUCAAAGACUUUUCUCCCCAUCUAAUUAGGAAUAAAUAGUAACUUCUCUUAGGAGCAAAAUAUAUUCAAAUACCUGUGCUAACUUUCUUAAGUAUCUGCUAGCCGUAAUAAAGAAAUGAAUGUACUUUAUGUUCUUAGCUCCCAUAGUUUAGCCUAAAUAUUUGCCCUGGCAUGCUUAUACUGGUCCAAGCAAGCAUUAGGUCAUAGCCUGUUCCUCUUCCUUAUUUGGAGGUCUUUUUAGCUUCCUCAGCAAUCCAUAAGUUACUUCCUCAUUCCUUUGUUCUCCUCUGCCUUUGCCUCUUUUAAAAAGUUCUAAGUUGGCCGGGCGCAGUGGCUCAAGCCUGUAAUCCCAGCACUUUGGGAGGCCGAGGCGGGUGGAUCACGAGGUCAGGAGAUCGAGACCAUCCUGGCUAACAUGGUGAAACCCCGUCUCUACUAAAAAUACAAAAAACUAGCCGGGCGUGGUGGCGGGCGCCUGUAGUCCCAGCUACUCGGAGGCUGAGGCGGGAGAAUGGCGUGAACCCGGGAGGUGGAGCUUGCAGUGAGCCGAGAUCCGGCCACUGCACUCCAGCCUGGGCGACAGAGCGAGACUCCGUCUCAAAAAAAUAAAUAAAUAAAAUAAAAUAAAAUAAAAUAAAAAGUUCUAAGUUGCUAGCCAACUGGGACAAAUACAGAAUGUGAGGUCCCAUUCCAGCCAAUGGAAACCAGACACAGCAGUAGGGUGGACACAUCAGGUUAUAAAUGACCCUGUCUCCUUUGUUCGGUGUACUCUCGUGACAAAACUGCUGGGUCUGGCUGUCACUCAGGCUGGUCUCAAACCCCUAGGCUCAAGAGACCCUCCCACAUUGGCUUGUCAAAGUGCUGGAAUUACAGGUGGUCCAAGCCAGGAACUUAAGAUAGAUGGAAGAUUAUGUUUUGUUCCUUUACACUGUGAAGUAUUCUGUACUAUAUAAUGCCUCAUUGUCUGUAAUCAACAUAUCUAACUCUUUAUAAUAGAUAAUUAUUUCCAAUUUCUCAUUAUUAUAAGUAGUGCUAUUGCUAGCUCCUCAAAUGUAUGCCUUUGUGAGGAUAUCAGAUUAUAACCUUAGAAUACAUUUGUAGAUGUAAAAUAAAGGAUAUACACAUAUACAUUUUGCCACAUACUCCCAACUGCCCUCUUAAGAAGUGCCAGAUUUUACUACAUGGAGUCCUUUUCCUAUACUCGAUUUCCAAUGUAGACAUUAUAAUAUUUUUCCCCUUUUUCAAUAAAAUGGGUAAAAAAGUGACAUCUUGAUAAAUGUGUGUUUUCUUUUCUGUGGUUACAAGCAAAGUGGAACCUCUGUUUUAUAUAUUUAUUGGCCUUUUGCACUUCUCCAUUUGUAAAUAACACCUUUAUCUUUUGGUCCAUUUUUCUAUUGGCAGGUUUAUCUUUUUCUUGUCAAUUUGCAAGAGCUAUUGAAAGCUUAGCAACACACUUAAACAAUGUUGGUUUUUAUUUUACAUUUUGGAAAUUGCCUUUACCUCAAGGGCUGCCCACUGUUAAAACUAGACCAUGAGAAUAAAACUUACUGUUUCAUUGAAGUGGUUAAUAGGAAGAAGAAACAAAAAUCAAAUUCCUGACUUGGAGUUCCAAAAUAGGCACUUGAUAUUGUUACUGGUGGGCGAGAUCUGAGUUACUCGUGGCAAAUCCGUAGACGUAUGCAGCAACCUCAAUUCUUACCUCCUCAGAAGAAAGGAUUCAACUGAGGGACAUAAGGCAGAAAAAGAGACCAAGGCAAGUUUCAGAGCAGGAAUGGAAGUUUAUUUUAAAAGGCUUCAGAACAGGAAAGAAAGAAAGGUAUGCUUGCAAGAGACUCCAAUAGACACUGCAGACUACUGUGGGGGAGAGAGGGAGGUGAACAAGGGUUGAAAAACUACCUGUUGGAUGUUAUGCUCACUACCUUGGUGACAGGUUCAAUCAUACCCUAAACCUCAGCAUCACGCAAUAUACCUUAGUAACAAACCUGCACAUGUACCCCCUGAUUCUAAAAUAAAAGUUGAAAAAGAAAAUAAAAGGAGUCUAAGACAGUUCCUCAAGUUUUGUAUAGCUAAAGGAAUAGCUGAGGCCAGGUGCGGUGGUUCACACCUGUAAUCCCAGCACUUGGGGAGGCCAAGGCAGGUGGAUCGCGAGGUCAAGAGAUCGAGACCAUCCUGGCCAACAUGGUGAAACCUCCUCUCUACUAAAAAUACAAAAAUUAGCUGGGCAUCAUGGCAUGCACCUGUAGUCCCAGCUACUCGGGAGGCUGAGGCAGGAGAAUCACUGGAACCUGGGAGGCAGAGGUUGCAGAGAGCCGAGAUCAUGCCACUGCACUCCAGCCUGGCGACAGAGCAAGACUCUGUCUAAAAAAAAAAAAAAAGAAAAACGGAAUAGCUGAGAGAGUUUCAACAGACAAGAUGCCAUAUCAGGUCAGAAAUGUUCCUUCACCAGAUAGGAUAUUGAUUAUAUAAGCCACAUGUCAUGGCAGAAGCAAAAAUAUCAGAGGCAAAAACGUGAACAGCAAGUACAGUGAGGAUAGAGGCUAUAAACCAAGUACAUAUUAUUAGACCCCAGCAGAUGACAACUGGACCAGUUUCCUCCUUGUACCAAUGCCAAGGCACCAUGUUAACCACCUGGAAUACAACUGCGAGUUAGGGAGAGGGGGCACAAGAAGGGAGGUAUACAGAUUAGACAAAAAAUUACCAGUAUCAAAAUGGAGUCACUAUGUGAAGCCCUAAUAAAAGAGAGCUGGAGGCCAUGAAAAAGGGGUCCUCAUACAUGCAUACCUAUGCUGGGAACUCUGCAAGGAAUUCCUUAAAACUGCAGUAUUCCAGAUGAGCUGCUUGCCCAAAGACACUUGCCUAACAAUGACUGUCUCUGCCAAUGAGCUAAUGCCAGCUCUUGCAACAAGCUCCAAUAGUCUUGUUCCAAAACAGCUUCUAUGGACUUCACCUUUCUGUCUUUAAAAGCUUUCCCCUACGCCAACUCCCCUGGAUGCACCUAUGAUCCAUCAUAGCAUGCAUGUUCUGGAUUGCAAUCUCCUGCUACUGCGGAAUAAACUCUUUGCUCUGGAAGAUCAGUCUCUCUGUUGCUCACUUUAGGUUGACACAGAAAACCC